rnacentral:tRNA from 1 species
GGCCCAGUCGUCAAAUGGUUAAGACAUAAUGUUUUCACCAUUAUAACACGGGUUCGAUUCCCGUCUGGGCUA